GACGAACGCUGGCGGCGUGCUUAACACAUGCAAGUCGAACGGAAAGGCCCUGCUUUUGUGGGGUGCUCGAGUGGCGAACGGGUGAGUAACACGUGAGUAACCUGCCCUUGACUUUGGGAUAACUUCAGGAAACUGGGGCUAAUACCGGAUAGGAGCUCCUGCUGCAUGGUGGGGGUUGGAAAGUUUCGGCGGUUGGGGAUGGACUCGCGGCUUAUCAGCUUGUUGGUGGGGUAGUGGCUUACCAAGGCUUUGACGGGUAGCCGGCCUGAGAGGGUGGCCGGCCACAUUGGGACUGAGAUACGGCCCAGACUCCUACGGGGGGCAGCAGUGGGGAAUAUUGCACAAUGGGCGGAAGCCUGAUGCAGCAACGCCGCGUGCGGGAUGACGGCCUUCGGGUUGUAAACCGCUUUCGCCUGUGACGAAGCGUGAGUGACGGUAAUGGGUAAAGAAGCACCGGCUAACUACGUGCCAGCAGCCGCGGUGAUACGUAGGGUGCGAGCGUUGUCCGGAUUUAUUGGGCGUAAAGGGCUCGUAGGUGGUUGAUCGCGUCGGAAGUGUAAUCUUGGGGCUUAACCCUGAGCGUGCUUUCGAUACGGGUUGACUUGAGGAAGGUAGGGGAGAAUGGAAUUCCUGGUGGAGCGGUGGAAUGCGCAGAUAUCAGGAGGAACACCAGUGGCGAAGGCGGUUCUCUGGGCCUUUCCUGACGCUGAGGAGCGAAAGCGUGGGGAGCGAACAGGCUUAGAUACCCUGGUAGUCCACGCUGUAAACGGUGGGUACUAGGUGUGGGGUCCAUUCCACGGGUUCCGUGCCGUAGCUAACGCUUUAAGUACCCCGCCUGGGGAGUACGGCCGCAAGGCUAAAACUCAAAGGAAUUGACGGGGCCCCGCACAAGCGGCGGAGCAUGCGGAUUAAUUCGAUGCAACGCGUAGAACCUUACCUGGGUUUGACAUGGAUCGGGAGCGCUCAGAGAUGGGUGUGCCUCUUUUGGGGUCGGUUCACAGGUGGUGCAUGGCUGUCGUCAGCUCGUGUCGUGAGAUGUUGGGUUAAGUCCCGCAACGAGCGCAACCCUUGUUCACUGUUGCCAGCACGUUAUGGUGGGGACUCAGUGGAGACCGCCGGGGUCAACUCGGAGGAAGGUGGGGAUGACGUCAAGUCAUCAUGCCCCUUAUGUCCAGGGCUUCACGCAUGCUACAAUGGCUGGUACAGAGAGUGGCGAGCCUGUGAGGGUGAGCGAAUCUCGGAAAGCCGGUCUCAGUUCGGAUUGGGGUCUGCAACUCGACCUCAUGAAGUCGGAGUCGCAAGUAAUCGCAGAUCAGCAAUGCUGCGGUGAAUACGUUCCCGGG
rnacentral:rRNA from 1 species